rnacentral:rRNA from 1 species
AGCACGGACUUCGGUCUGGUGGCGAGUGGCGAACGGGUGAGUAAUGUAUCGGAACGUGCCUAGUAGCGGGGGAUAACUACGCGAAAGCGUAGCCAAUACCGCAUACGCCCUUCGGGGGAAAGCGGGGACCUUCGGGCCUCGCACUAUUAGAGCGGGCCGAUAUCGGAUUAGCUAGUUGGUGGGGUAACGGCUCACCAUGACGAUCCGUAGCUGGUUUGAGAGACCAGCCACACUGGGACUGAGACACGGCCCAGACUCCUACGGGAGGCAGCAGUGGGGAAUUUGGACAAUGGGGGAAAACCCUUGAUCCAGCCAUCCCCCGCGUGCGAUGAAGGCCUUCGGGUUGUAAAGCACUUUUGGCAGGAAAGAAACGGCACGGGAUAAUACCCCGUGCAACUGACGGUACCUGCAGAAUAAGCACCGGCUAACUACGUGCCAGCAGCCGCGGUAAUACGUAGGGUGCAAGCGUUAAUCGGAAUUACUGGGCGUAAAAGCGUGCGCAGGCGGUUCGGAAAGAAAGAUGUGAAAUCCCAGAGCUUAACUUUGAACUGCAUUUUAAUCACCGAGCUAGAGGUCAGAGGGAGGUGGAAUUCCGCGUGUAGCAGUGAAAUGCGUAGAUAUGCGGAGGAACACCGAUGGCGAAGGCAGCCUCUGGGAUAACACUGACGCUCAUGCACGAAAGCGUGGGGAGCAAACAGGAUUAGAUACCCUGUGGUAGUCCACGCCUCAAACGAUGUCAACUAGCUGUUGGGGCCUUCGGGCCUUGGUAGCGCAGCUAACGCGUGAAGUUGACCGCCUGGGAGUACGGCUGCAAGAUUAAAACUCAAAGGAAUUGGACGGGGACCCGCACAAGCGGUGGAUGAUGUGGAUUAAUUCGAUGCAACGCGAAAAACCUUACCUACCCUUGACAUGUCUGGAAUCCCGAAGAGAUUUGGGAGUGCUCGCAAGAGAACCGGAACACAGGUGUUGCAUGGCUGUCGUCAGCUCGUGUCGUGAGAUGUUGGGUUAAGUCCCGCAACGAGCGCAACCCUUGUCAUUAGUUGCUACGAAAGGGCACUCUAAUGAGACUGCCGGUGACAAACCGAGGAAGGUGGGGAUGACGUCAAGUCCUCAUGGCCCUUAUGGGUAGGGCUUCACACGUCAUACAAUGGUCGGGACAGAGGGUCGUCAACCCGCGAGGGGGAGCCAAUCCCAGAAACCCGAUCGUAGUCCGGAUCGCAGUCUGCAACUCUGACUGCGUGAAGUCGGAAUCGCUAGUAAUCGCGGAUCAGCAUGUCGCGGUGAAUACGUUCCCGGGUCUUGUACACACCGCCCGUCACACCAUGGGAGUGGGUUUUACCAGAAGUAGUUAGCCUAACCGUAAGGAGGGCGAUUACCACGGUAGGAUUCAUGACUGGGGUGAAGUCGUAACAAGGU